rnacentral:rRNA from 1 species
GAUUUCUUCGGAAUGAAUGAAGGAUGACUGAGCGGCGGACGGGUGAGUAACGCGUGGGGAACCUGCCUUAUACCGGGGGAUAACAGUUAGAAAUGGCUGCUAAUACCGCAUAAGCGCACAGCACCGCAUGGUGCCGUGUGAAAAACUCCGGUGGUAUAAGAUGGACCCGCGUUGGAUUAGCCAGUUGGCGGGGUAACGGCCCCCAAAGCGACGAUCCAUAGCCGGCCUGAGAGGGCGACCGGCCACAUUGGGACUGAGACACGGCCCAGACUCCUACGGGAGGCAGCAGUGGGGAAUAUUGCACAAUGGAGGAAACUCUGAUGCAGCGACGCCGCGUGAACGAAGAAGUAUUUCGGUAUGUAAAGUUCUAUCAGCAGGGAAGAUUAUGACGGUACCUGACCAAGAAGCCCCGGCUAAAUACGUGCC